ensembl:lncRNA
UGCAAUCUUUGUGUUUUGAAAGCAGAUAGGAAGAGCAAGGGGUGAAUGUGAUUGAGAAACUGAGGGACACUGUAAAGUUAUAUUCUAGCAACUUGCCAAUCACAGAGUAAAUCACACCCAGCUUUAGCCUCCCUAUUCUAAGGGCCUUUGUUCACUGAAAGCAAUUGUUGUGCUCUCAGCAUCUAUUUUCUACACAAACUAAGAAGAAUUUGAAUAUAAUGGAGGUCAAAGUUCUUGCCACAAAAACACACCUGACAGUUCAACAUUUGGAACACUGCUGCACUUAUCGAUGUCACUUUCCCUGACAAACCAAUCAAAAUCAAGAGUGAGCAAGACUUGCGCUAUACUUUCAGAAGUAAUGGCAAAAACAUUUUUCAUUUUGCCUUUGUACACCACAAUACUGGAUUUGAUAUCAAACACUCAAUAAAUGAUUGAUGUGUGGAUUUAAGCUUUAAUUAGGGUUUAACAAAAGUAUAUUAGAAAUUAAGUUGGAAAUCAGAGAGGAUUUUUUGUUGUAUUUUUUUUUUUUUUAAUUUGGAUGAAAAAAUGUCUUCCUUUUUCCAAGGCUGGAAAGAUGGCACUUGAUCUGAUAAAUCUUGAUUUGAUGUGAUUAUGAAGCAUAGAUAAUGAAUGACUCCAUGGACCAAGUAGUGAAUGCUUUCCCAUGCACACUUUGGCACACUUAAACCACAGCCAAGAGGGGUUUUUUGGGGUUUGUUUUUUUUUUACCUAAAGAAUGAUUCCUAAAAACCAAAGGUUCAGUUUGUAUGAGUGAAAAACCAUUAUAGACUUGUCAGUAUGUCAUCUAGGUAGAAGAAUUUAAAAUCCUUCUCACAUACAAGAGCUGGUAUAAUCAGGUCCCACUGUACAUUAAAGACCUCAUAGCCCCAGUAUAGUGCUUUGCUAUCAGAUUCUUGGCUUACUUGUGGUUCUUAGGAUAUUUAAAAGCAGAGCCUUCAUCUUUCAGGACCCUCUGCUGUGGAACCAGUAGUAAGGGCUGGAUCAGGUAAGCAUGAAGUUACACGGCUAUUAGCCUAGGAUGCUGAUGGCUUCCCAUGAGUGUUUCUUCUUCAUUCCCCCCUUCAGUUUGUGUUUAUACACCACUCUUCAAUUAAUCAUUAGUUAUUAUUUAUCUCUGUUAAUUAAUCUCUUCCCUUAUCCCCAACCAGUCUUGGCAGAUGGCUGCCCCUCACUGAGCCUGGUUCUGCUGGAGAUUUCUUUAUGCCAAAAGGGAGUUUUUCCUUCCCACUGUUUCCGAAGUGCUUGCUCACAGAGAAUCGUCGGAUUGUUAACAUUUCUCUCAAGCUCCUUGAGGCUUUGUGAAAGUCUGGAAUUAUUCUACAGCAGCCUCUAACGUGACAUAAAGAAGUGCUGCUUAAUAAAUGGCACUGUCUACUAUUGUUACAAUCACCUGUCUUGUUCUGCUCCCACCCCUGACACCAACCAGUCACCUCAAAAUUACAUGUGAUUCAAGGUUGUCCCUUUGCAUGGUAAAGAAAUGCAGUAUAAAGGGAAAUUAAAUGUCAUUUCUCACCAGCCUCCACAGUCCAAUAAUGAGUAAAUCACAAAAAUAGUCAUAAAAAACUUAAACUAAAGGAUAAAUAACAAUCAAGCAGCUGAGACACUCAGCAAUCCCCUGAUGAUGGAAGACACUUAUGUAUUGGUUACACUGAAAGCAUAAUACUAUAUUAGCUCAAACAGUAGUGUUGGAAGGUUAGUGGCUCGAUCCCCAACUUCUUCGGUUUGUAUGUUGAUCUAUCUUUAAAAAAAAAAAAAAAGAACUGGACUUCACAGUAUAGUGAAUGUGAUUUUGUGUGUUGAGCUGAGUAGAAAAGUGCUAUAUAAAUAUUGUCCAUUUUUACUACACCUCAGUGCACAAACCAAACAUAAUGCAAAAAGCUGAUGAAUAGAGAAGUGAUGGGAUAUGCAUGCAUUACCAUUACUGGGAACUGUAUAGGUAUACGUAAUUAAGAAACAUACAAUUACUUCCCAAUCAUGCCUGAAAGCUCCCUGCAGGUCAGACGACCUUUACGUUCACAGAGUGUCACAGGGUAGCUUUCAAUGUUUCAUUGUGUCAGGAGAAAUGUCUCUGCGGCCUCCUCCUCCAAACAUUUAACUGUUAAUUGUGUACCUAGUCUGAGCUGUGUAGUAGUGAUUUCCCCCCCUUAAAAACACUUCACACUGCUUAAUCCAGAUUGGUCUGUGUUUGAAUGCCACAGUCAGAGUAUUGUCAUCAAGCAAAGGUCAUAUGAAUCUAGUUUUGGGAACAUCACAUUGAGUUUAAUGAACUACAGGCCCUGCCAGU